rnacentral:rRNA from 1 species
CCCCCCUCAAGAUGAGAUUUCCCAACUUCGGUUAUAAGAUCCCUUAAAGAUGAUGAGGUUAAUAGGUUCGAGGUGGAAGCAUGGUGACAUGUGUAGCUGACGAAUACUAAUCGAUCGAAGACUUAAUCAA